ACGGGAGGCAGCAGUAAGGAAUAUUGGUCAAUGGGGGCAACCCUGAACCAGCCAUGCCGCGUGCAGGACGACUGCCCUAUGGGUUGUAAACUGCUUUUGUUAGGGAAUAAACCCCGCUACGUGUAGCGGGCUGAAUGUACCUAAAGAAUAAGGAUCGGCUAACUCCGUGCCAGCAGCCGCGGUAAUACGGAGGAUCCGAGCGUUAUCCGGAUUUAUUGGGUUUAAAGGGUGCGUAGGCGGCACUUUAAGUCAGGGGUGAAAGACGGCAGCUCAACUGUCGCAGUGCCCUUGAUACUGAAGUGCUUGAAUGCGGUUGAAGACGGCGGAAUGAGACAAGUAGCGGUGAAAUGCAUAGAUAUGUCUCAGAACACCGAUUGCGAAGGCAGCUGUCUAAGCCGUUAUUGACGCUGAUGCACGAAAGCGUGGGGAUCGAACAGGAUUAGAUACCCUGGUAGUCCACGCCCUAAACGAUGAUGACUCGAUGUUUGCGAUAUACCGUAAGCGUCCAAGCGAAAGCGUUAAGUCAUCCACCUGGGGAGUACGCCCGCAAGGGUGAAACUCAAAGGAAUUGACGGGGGCCCGCACAAGCGGAGGAGCAUGUGGUUUAAUUCGAUGAUACGCGAGGAACCUUACCCGGGCUUGAAAGUUACUGAAGGGCGCAGAGACGCGCCCGUCCUUCGGGACAGGAAACUAGGUGCUGCAUGGCUGUCGUCAGCUCGUGCCGUGAGGUGUUGGGUUAAGUCCCGCAACGAGCGCAACCCCUAUGUUUAGUUGCCAGCACGUCAAGGUGGGGACUCUAAACAGACUGCCUGCGCAAGCAGAGAGGAAGGCGGGGACGACGUCAAGUCAUCAUGGCCCUUACGUCCGGGGCUACACACGUGCUACAAUGGAUGGUACAGCGGGCAGCUACACAGCAAUGUGGUGCCAAUCUCGAAAAGCCAUUCACAGUUCGGAUCGGGGUCUGCAACUCGACCCCGUGAAGUUGGAUUCGCUAGUAAUCGCGUAUCAGCAAUGACGCGGUGAAUACGUUCCCGGGCCUUGUACACACCGCCCGUCAAGCCAUGAAAGCUGGGGGUACCUAAAGCAUGUAAC
rnacentral:rRNA from 1 species